rnacentral:rRNA from 1 species
GAUCCUGGCUCAGGAUGGACGCUAGCGGCAGGCCUACCACAUGCAAGUCGAGGGGCAGCACGGUGUAGCAAUACACUGGUGGCGACCGGCGCACGGGUGCGUAACGCGUAUGCAACCUACCCAUAACAGGGGGAUAACACUGAGAAAUUGGUACUAAUACCCCAUAACAUCAGGACCGGCAUCGGUUCUGGUUGAAAACUCCGGUGGUUAUGGAUGGGCAUGCGUUGUAUUAGCUGGUUGGUG